rnacentral:rRNA from 3 species
CUAAAUGCGGAAGAGAUAAGUGCUGAAAGCAUCUAAGCACGAAACUUGCCCCGAGAUGAGUUCUCCCUGAGACUUAGAGUCUCCUGAAGGAACGUUGAAGACGACGACGUUGAUAGGCCGGGUGUGUAAGCGCAGCGAUGCGUUGAGCUAACCGGUACUAAUGAACCGUGAGGCUUAACCUU